UGGAGAUGGGCUCUAGGUGCUGAACUUUGAGCGCCUACACCAUUUCGUUGAGCUUAUUCUGCUCCCCACCCCAUUCCUCCAGCUUGGGAAUUGUAUCAUCUCAAAGUGACAAAACAUCCUCAUCAAGCAGCCUUCUCCUCAAGGAGGCUCAGGUGGCCCAAUCAGUUUCUGGUGUAAUAGGGAGGUGCUGGAACAGAGAUGGGUACUGCCAGGACAAGGCAAGACCUCAUUUCAGGAUGGGCUCUUUACCCCAACCUGAUGCGAUGCACAGAGUCAGCAGGACUGGGGAAGGAGGGCUGGAUCUCAUCCACCAACAAUCUUCAAGAACCCCAGAAGCUGAGCUACCUGAGGAGACGGUGCUUGAGGACCGCCCGCUAAGCACAGAUGACCGUGUCACCGCAGAUGUCAUGGAAGGGACUAGAGGAGCUCAUUUACCACCACUCUGUCAGCACAGGGUCAACUAUGAAUGAGUUGAGUUAAGAAGGAGCAGAAUGAAGACUCCACCAAGAAGAGCCGGUAUCGUAUAAUGAGGUCCAAUCAGACCCGCUGGUGGAGGAGCACGCAGGCCUGGGUCAUCCUGUGUGGCAGACGAGCCCGAGCCCGUCGUCUGCUGGGCUCCAGAGUUCUUUUGCAACAAACUGAUUUCCCUGUGUUUUCUUUCCCACCUCCUGCCAAUGCGGCUGGUAAUAACCUCAGCCAACCUACUGAUGGCUCACUCUGGGGCAGGCCUUGUGCCAAGUGCAUGAUCUCAUUGAACUAUCACAGUGUUUCUGUGAGGCAGGUAUUACAAUUAUCCCCGUUCUGUAGGCUGAGGAGCCACAGCACAUAGAGGUUAAACAACUCACCCAACGUCACACAGCCAGGGUGUGGCAAGGCCAGCGUAUUCCAGAGCCUGCACCUGUAUCGCUCCUCUGCUGUACUGUGUCCUACCAAGGGCCUCGGCCAGCCCACCCGGUGCCUGGUAUGCAUUAGAUCCCUGCCCUGAGAGUCGGGGGGCAAGGCUGCAGUUAACCCCAUUAGUCCUCUCCACCAGGCGUCCUUCCGCGGCAUGCAGCCUGCACAGCCACAGGUGGUAGCUCUGAGCAGACAUGCAUUAAUUUCAAUUAACCUAUGCUCUUGCCAAAUGAAAACUGAGAACUAGGGCGUUAAUGGUACUCAAUGAGCAUAUGCCCCAGGGUGAAACUGUGAUUGCCUCAGAUCCCAGAUGCCUCUAUAGUAUGAGCAUCUUGCCACACCAAGUGUGUGUUUAAAGAUAGUCCUUCCCCUCCUGCACUGUUGGUGGGAAUGGAAGCUGGUGCAGCCACUAUGGAAAGCAGUAUGCAGGUUCCUUAAACUAUUUAGAACUACCAUAUGACCCAGCAAUUCCAGUCCUGGGCAUAUACCCUGAGAAAACCAUAAUCCAAAAAGAAAUAGGUACCACAAUGUUCAUUGCAGCACUAUUUACAAUAGCCAGGACGUGGAAGCAACCUAAAUGCCCAUCAACAGAUGAAUGGAUAAAGAAGACGUGGCAUAUAUAUACAAUGGAAUAUUACUUAGCCAUAAAAAGGAAUAAAAUUGAGUUAUUUGUAGCGAGGUGGAUGGACCUAGAGUCUGUCAUACAGAGUAAAGUAAGCCAGAAAGAGAAAAACAAAUGCUAACUCAUAUAUAUGGAAUCAAAAAAAAAAAUGGUACUGAUGAACCCAGUGACAGGGCAAGAAUAAAGAUGCAGAUGUAGAGAACAGACUUGAGGACACAGGGUGGGGGGCAAAGGGGAAGCUGGGACGAAGUGAGAGAGUAGCAUUGACAUAUAUACACUACCAGAUGUAAAAUAGAUAGCUGCUGGGAAGCUGCUGCAUAACACAGGGAGAUCAACUUGAUAAUGGGUGAUGACUUA